rnacentral:rRNA from 1 species
UAGGGAAUAUUGGGCAAUGGAGGGAACUCUGACCCAGCCAUGCCGCGUGCAGGAUGAAGGCGUUAUGCGUUGUAAACUGCUUUUAUAUAGGAAGAAAUAGUCCUUGCGAGGAAAGUUGACGGUACUAUAUGAAUAAGCACCGGCUAACUCCGUGCCAGCAGCCGCGGUAAUACGGAGGGUGCAAGCGUUGUCCGGAUUUAUUGGGUUUAAAGGGCGCGUAGGCGGUUUAUUAAGUCAGUGGUGAAAGACGGUCGCUCAACGAUUGCAGUGCCAUUGAUACUGGUAGACUUGAGUAUGAUUGAGGUAGCUGGAAUGGAUAGUGUAGCGGUGAAAUGCAUAGAUAUUAUCCAGAACACCAAUUGCGUAGGCAAGUUACUAAGUCAUAACUGACGCUGAGGCACGAAAGUGUGGGUAUCAAACAGGAUUAGAUACCCAAGUAGUCCCUGAGCGGGCUGGCAAGGCGCAU